UACGGGGGGGGCAAGCGUUGUUCGGAAUUACUGGGCGUAAAGGGUUUGUAGGUGGCUUGUUAAGUCAGACGUGAAAUCCCUCAGCUUAACUGGGGAACUGCGUCUGAGACUGGUGAGCUUGAGUGCAGGAGAGGAACGCGGAAUUCCAGGUGUAGCGGUGAAAUGCGUAGAUAUCUGGAGGAACACCGGUGGCGAAGGCGGGUCUCUGGGCCGAUACUGACGCUGAGGAGCGAAAGCGUGGGGAGCGAACAGG
rnacentral:rRNA from 1 species